CUGUGACGCCGGCGGUGUGCCUAUACAUGCAGUCGUACGCACUGGCCCAACUGAUUGAUGGUGCUUGCACCUGAUUGACGAUGGAUCACCAGUGAGUGGCGGACGGGUGAGUAACACGUAGGUAACCUGCCCCGGAGCGGGGGAUAACAUUUGGAAACAGAUGCUAAUACCGCAUAACAACAAAAGCCACAUGGCUUUUGUUUGAAAGAUGGCUUUGGCUAUCACUCUGGGAUGGACCUGCGGUGCAUUAGCUAGUUGGUAAGGUAACGGCUUACCAAGGCGAUGAUGCAUAGCCGAGUUGAGAGACUGAUCGGCCACAAUGGAACUGAGACACGGUCCAUACUCCUACGGGAGGCAGCAGUAGGGAAUCUUCCACAAUGGGCGCAAGCCUGAUGGAGCAACACCGCGUGAGUGAAGAAGGGUUUCGGCUCGUAAAGCUCUGUUGUUGGAGAAGAACGUGCGUGAGAGUAACUGUUCACGCAGUGACGGUAUCCAACCAGAAAGUCACGGCUAACUACGUGCCAGCAGCCGCGGUAAUACGUAGGUGGCAAGCGUUAUCCGGAUUUAUUGGGCGUAAAGCGAGCGCAGGCGGUUGCUUAGGUCUGAUGUGAAAGCCUUCGGCUUAACCGAAGAAGUGCAUCGGAAACCGGGCGACUUGAGUGCAUAAUAGGACAGUGGGAACUCCAUGUGUAGCGGUGGAAUGCGUAGAUAUAUGGAAGACACCAGUGGCGAAGGCGGCUGUCUGGUCUGCACCUGACGCUGAGGCUCGAAAGCAUGGGUUAGCGAACAGGAAUAAAUACCCUG
rnacentral:rRNA from 1 species